rnacentral:misc_RNA from 1 species
CGCACAUUGCGCCCGCUAGCAUUCUAGCGGGCAUGCCUGUCCGAGCGUCAUUUCAACCCUCGAACCUCCGGGUUUGGUGUUGGGGUCCUCUGCUGCCCAGGCGGCAGAGCCCCGAAAUACAGUGGCGGGCCUCUCGGUAUCCCGAACGUAGUAGUAUUUCUGUUCGUUCAGGGCGUGCCGGCGGUGUCUAGCCGUUAAACCCACUAAAUUUUAUAAGGUUGACCUCGGAUCAGGUAGGAAUACCCGCUGAACUUAA